rnacentral:rRNA from 1 species
UACAGAGGGUGCGAGCGUUAAUCGGAUUUACUGGGCGUAAAGCGUGCGUAGGCGGCCCAUUAAGUCAAAUGUGAAAUCCCCGAGCUUAACUUGGGAAUUGCAUUCGAUACUGGUUGGCUAGAGUAUGGGAGAGGAUGGUAGAAUUCCAGGUGUAGCGGUGAAAUGCGUAGAGAUCUGGAGGAAUACCGAUGGCGAAGGCGGCCAUCUGGCCGAAUACUGACGCUGAGGUACGAAAGCAUGGGGAGCAAACAGGAUUAGAAACCCCCGUAGUCC